rnacentral:lncRNA from 1 species
UCAUAGAUCAUCCUUGCAAAAUAUUAGCUAAAUUGGAAAUGUUUAAGACAUCUAAUUGGGUUCAAGGAAAUGAACGAAUACUUUGUUAUAUAAGAAAAUAUGAAAUUUGAUAUUGAUAAUUAAAUAGGCAAAUGGUUUCGGAUUGAAUUGAAUUUUUGCAAUGAUGAUCUAUGAAUCGAGACUAACAAAAUAAACAGUUCGGAUCGUUGAAAUUAGAUGUGAAGUGGGCCCCACACCUAAUCCACAUUUUUUUCAAAAAAUUGGGAUCCCUCCCCUUAAGCUCUCUCUCUCUCUAUAUAUAUAUAUAUAUAUAUAUAUAUAUAUAUAUAUAUAUAUAUAUUAAUUGAAUGGAAGAGUAUAUGUUCAAAGGGGUUUGUGACUCUCGAGGCAAUAUGCCGCUAGUCAGACAAAAAAAGAAGAGAGAAUCUACGUUGCAAUCAGUUGUAUAUACAAGAAGAUAUAUCUCGACGACAUAAAAUGAUUUCAGGUCCAUGUGGCAUGUUACACAUCACUCAGAUCAAAGAGAUCCUAAAGCAGUAGAGGUAGGGAAAUAUUUAAAAAGAAUUCUAGAGGAGAAAUGAUUAGAAGAUUCCCUCCUCCUCUUUUUCAAAUCAUGCAUCCAAAAAGGCCUGGGCCUCAUGUUAUAUGUUCCACAAGUUGGCAAAUCUGUGUUAUCAUCGAACGGCCCUUGAAAAUUCUUAUAUGCUAGGAGACAUUUGAUCCCCCGCGAGGAUGGCACUGUUUAAUACCAUAGGUACUGUCAGCAUUCAAUAUGUUGUCCGCCUAGCAUCACCGAUGACAUAGAUAAUUAUCAUGUAUUUAUAUAAUACAUUGUUCAUCCGUUAAAUAGUUGUCAAUUUAAAUCACCUAUAGCAAGAGAAAAUCAUAGGCAGGAUAAAGAGAGCCAUUUAGAUUGACCCAAUUGGUCCAUUUGCAAUGCGAGUGGCCACGUCCUUGACUAGUUGAUUGGAAUUCGAAUUGUCUGUAAGCAAGCACCUAUGGGUUUGGAUAAAUCCGAUUUUUAUAUAGUUUUAUGAAGUGUUUUUAGAUAACUAUAAGCAUUUUUCAGUGCCUUUUAGGAUACCUAAAUUCUUUUAGGUCAUGUUUGAUUUAGGGAGAUAGAAUCAUAUGCAACAAGUCAUGUGUGUGUGUUAACGGUCACAUUGAGUUAAGGGAGAUUAAGCAAAAAUGAACUCUGUAUUUAUACUAAAUUUAAAACUUAGGAAGAUUUUACCACCGUAAAAAUUUGUGAGAAGGAAUGGUUUUGAUGAUUAAUAUAUGGAAAGCCAAAUAGAAUUGAGACAGAUGAUAGUGGCCAAUAGCUUAAAUCAUGAUUGUUGAGUUGUGGAAUUUGUGGAUUUCUUGAGCUUUCAAAGGAGUUGAACCUUUUCCUAUCAAAUACCUUUCUGAAUGUACAACAAGACAUCUAAAGUGGGGUUCAAUCUUAUCUCCAAUACCAAAUUAUAUUUUGGUGUCCCUCGUCAAACACAAAACAAAAGAAUUGAAGAGGGGGGGAAUAUAAGGAGGACCAACACCCACCCCACCAAAACAAACAUAAUAUAUGAUAUAAUAUAUAUAUAUAUGUUGUUUAAUUUCAGAUGUAUUAUGCUAUGUAUCGUGGAUUGAGAUUCAUUCUAGAUAUCUAUGUUCGGCGUCCAUUGAUCGAUAUAUUCGGAUUGCACAAGAGAUGGAGAAAGAGAUCUAGGCCGUUCAAGUUUUAAAAUUUUAGUGAAGUGUGCCAAUGAGAUGAGUUAAUAAGGACUGCAUAAUUGAACUUGAAUGGUCCGAAUCUCUCA